CCGAACAUUUCGAACCCUGCAAAUAUUUCAUGGCAUACAUUGUAGUUGUUUAAAUAUUUCAGACUUCCCUGCUGGCGGUGUUUGCUCAGCUGGACCCUUCAAGCCAGAUGGUAAAAACUUCACUCUGAAGACAGAACACGGUGACUGCAAUAUCGGCUUCAGUUUCAUAUCGUGUAAACACGGCACUUGUGGUAGACUCACCAAUGAUUGCUGUUACACCGACAAAUUCAUCGACAAAACUAUCGGGAUCACCUGUCCAGAUGGAAAAGGAGGCACUGACACCAGAAAAAUCAAGGUCCGUGUUCCUACCAGCUGUCACUGUACGGAUGAAGACGAAAGCAUUGUAUCUGAUGCUUACAUUCUCCGGCGACGAUAGACCGCACACAGUAGGCCUUGUUAUAUAAAACUGUUACCAGUGACUCUAGUAAGAAUACUUAAAACAACAGGCUGAGUUAUUGUGUGACCACUUGGCGAUCUAAAUAAAGUAAAGAAUAAAUAUAAUAUAUCUCGAA